rnacentral:lncRNA from 1 species
GAGGUGAUCCUAUCUUCUGUCAACAUUUAUUCUGAUUCUUUGGUCACCCUGAAGUCUACAUCCUCCUCCAACCAGGCUUCAAGAUAAUUUGCCAUAUCAUAACAUAGUAUUCUGGAAAAAAAUAACCAUUUGGAUAUAGGGGCAUGAUGUGAGCUAUAAUAUCAAUUGUUUUCUUAGAGUUUAUCGUAUGGGCUCACCAUAUAUUUACAGUAGGCAUAGAUGUAGAUACACAAGCCUACUUCACCUCUGCUACGAUAAUUAUUGCUAUUCCCACUGGCGUCAAAGUUUUUAGCUGACUAGCUACACUUCAUGGCGGCAAUACUAAAUGAUCCCCUGCAAUGCUCUGAGCCUUGGGGUUUAUUUUCCUUUUUGCAGUAGGAGGCUUGACCGGCAUUGUACUAGCCAACUCAUCAUUGGAUAUUGUAAUUACAUGACACAUAUUAUGUUGUAGCCCAUUUACAUUACGUCUUAUCAAUAGGAGCCGUAUUUGCUAUUAUAGGGGGUUUUAUUCACUGAUUCUCUCUAUUUUCAGGCUAUAUACUCAAUCAAGCCUAGGCUAAAGCUCAUUUUGCUAUUAUGU